UAAGAAUAUUCCGCAAUGGACGAAAGUCUGACGGAGCGACGCCGCGUGGAUGAAGAAGGCCGCAAGGUUGUAAAAUCCUUUUGCUGGGGAAGAAUAAGCGCAGGAGGGAAUGCCUGCGUGAUGACAUGAACCGGCGAAUAAGCCCCGGCCAACUACGUGCCAGCAGCCGCGGUAACACGUAGGGGGCAAGCGUUGUUCGGAAUUACUGGGCGUAAAGGGCAUGUAGGCGGUUUAGUAAGCUUGGCGUGAAAGACCACGGCUUAACUGUGGGGUUGCGUUGGGAACUAGAUGACUAGAGUUACGGAGAGGGAGCUAGAAUUCCUGGUGUAGGGGUGGAAUCUGUAGAGAUCAGGAAGAAUACCGAUGGCGAAGGCAAGCUCCUGGCCGAUGACUGACGCUGAGGUGCGAAAGUGUGGGGAUCAAACA
rnacentral:rRNA from 1 species